rnacentral:rRNA from 1 species
UACGAAGGGGGCUAGCGUUGCUCGGAAUCACUGGGCGUAAAGCGCAUGUAGGCGGCAGCGCAAGUCGGGCGUGAAAUCCCACGGCUCAACCGUGGAAGUGCACUCGAAACUGCGCAGCUAGAGUCCUGGAGAGGAAGGUGGAAUGCUUGGUGUAGAGGUGAAAUUCGUAGAUAUCAAGCGGAACACCGGUGGCGAAGGCGGCCUAC